AAAGGAUACUCAAGAAUAUCUCAGUGCUCUCCCAAGGGUGGCAUGAUCUCCAACAGGUAAGACAUUUGGUUCAUAUUCCUGGUUGGUUGUAUCUUCGUUCUCCAGAUCUUGUGAUGGGGUUGUUCCCCAGCAUAGUUGCAAGCAGAGUGUUGUUGAAGACUCAGUUUUCUCCAGCAGCAGUUUUCCCCAGUAGAGUUUCUUAUGCAGUUAGAUUCUAC
rnacentral:lncRNA from 1 species